UGUUUAACACAUUGUCAGAGAUGUUCAAUCUAAGGCAUGUCUGAACAGUUUUUGACAUUGUAAAACAUGAUGUCACGUCUCACUUUAGCCUAAUAAACUGAUGAAUAAGAUCUCAUUGUUAAAACAGAGCUGAGACUUGCAAAAAACAUUCUGUGGUACAGUAAUGGUAUCAGAUGGUGAUGGUCCAUUAAUGUUACUGAUUGAUUAGCAAGUUUGGAGUCGGUUUCACAUUUGGUCCUGAGGGCGAAGUUUCUCAUUACUGAAAGCUCCAUAAAACCGGAUGCACAGCUCUGGUCCACGCAGAAAAGCGAGAUGAGGAGGAGGAAUGAGAGAAGAGGAGAUUUACGUAGAGGUCUGAGGAUCAGACGGUGAGUGAUCGAGCAGAAUACUAAUGCGAUCGCGUGAGGAGACCAGCUCUCUCUGAGCAUUUUUUUACACAGAUGU
ensembl:lncRNA